UACGAAGGGGGCUAGCGUUGCUCGGAUUGACUGGGCGUAAAGGGCGCGUAGGCGGUUUGCACAGUCAGACGUGAAAUUCCUGGGCUUAACCUGGGGGCUGCGUUUGAUACGUGCAGGCUUGAGUUCGGAAGAGGGUCGUGGAAUUCCCAGUGUAGAGGUGAAAUUCGUAGAUAUUCGGAAGAACACCAGUGGCGAAGGCGGCCCGCUGGACAAGUAUUGACGCUGAGGUGCGAAAGCGUGGGGAGCAAACAGG
rnacentral:rRNA from 1 species